rnacentral:rRNA from 1 species
UUGAAAGGGAAACGAUUGAAGUCAGUCGUACCAGCGGGAAUCAACCUUUCGAGUGGGGGUUUUGGAGUUUUGAAGAGUGUCAAAACCUUUGAGAUUUCAAAAUUUUCGCUCUUUUGGUGUACUUUCUCGUGGGUAGGUUAACAUCGAUUUUGAUCAUCAUAAAAAGAUUGGAGGAAUGUAGCUUCGAUCUUGUAUUGAAGUGUUAUAGCCUUUGGUAAAUGUGAUGAUUAGGAUCGAGGAUUGCAACGAAUACCCUUUUGGGCUAUCCGCCUGAUCUCUGAUACGUGGCCUUGGUAUCGAAAGCGUGCUUAUGGUAUUGAGGUAUUACGGUCAAAAGGUUAGAACGGAUUACAUUCGUUAAGGAUGUUGACGUA